GACGAACGCUGGCGGCGUGCUUAACACAUGCCAGUCGAACGGAAAGGCCCUGCUUUUGUGGGGUGCUCGAGUGGCGAACGGGUGAGUAACACGUGAGUAACCUGCCCUUGACUUUGGGAUAACUUCAGGAAACUGGGGCUAAUACCGGAUAGGAGCUCCUGCUGCAUGGUGGGGGUUGGAAAGUUUCGGCGGUUGGGGAUGGACUCGCGGCUUAUCAGCUUGUUGGUGGGGUAGUGGCUUACCAAGGCUUUGACGGGUACCCGGCCUGAGAGGGUGACCGGCCACAUGGGGACUGAGAUACGGCCCAGACUCCUACGGUAGGCAGCAGUGGGGAAUAUUGCACAAUGGGCGGAAGCCUGAUGCAGCAACGCCGCGUGCGUGAUGACGGCCUUCGGGUUGUAAACCGCUUUCGCCUGUGACGAAGCGUGAGUGACGGUAAUGGGUAAAGAAGCACCGGCUAACUACGUG
rnacentral:rRNA from 1 species